rnacentral:rRNA from 1 species
AGGACGAACGCUGGCGGCGUGCUUAACACAUGCAAGUCGAGCGGAAAGGCCCCUCGGGGUACUCGAGCGGCGAACGGGUGAGUAACACGUGAGCAACCUGCCCUUAGCUCUGGGAUAGCUCCGGGAAACCGGAAUUAAUACCGGAUAUUACACCGGCUGGCAUCGGCUGGUGUGGAAAGAUUUAUCGGCUAAGGAUGGACUCGCGGCCUAUCAGCUUGUUGGUGGGGUAGUGGCCUACCAAGGCGACGACGGGUA